ensembl:lncRNA
ACUGCCCAGUGUGCCUUCAGAAAUAAAGCCGAGUCUUGUUAAAUAGAUUUUUAUUCAGAAUGGAUUUGACAUACCAUACGGAAAAUUUUGAGGGUGUUCUAAGCAUUUCAUAUGGAAGAUGGUAUUGAAAAAGAACUUUUUUUUUUUUAAAGUAAUUCUUGUGUUUUCUGAUGCCAAGGCUUUGAGACGCUAGCUCAGAUGUCAAAUUGAUGUGAAAUCUUGCAUAACCAGCAAGUGAAACUCACACUUGAUAAGACUUGCUGAAGUUCCCAGUCUAGUACAAUGCUGACUUCUAACUCUAAACCACUUUUUCAUUAGUUAAUUUUCUGUUAGCUGGGAAUGUCCUUUAUUCUUGUUUUUAUUUUUUGUAUUUUUAAUUUUGGAUUGUUUCCAAUUCUUCUGUUUCACUUGCCUUUUCUCUCUGAAAUCUCAGUUUGCAGGGCUUAAAAUCCCUGUAGUGUUUGGUUCACUCAGUUUUGGGAGAUAAUUAAGUUGUAGCUGAGAUAGUUGAUGGUCACUGUCACCAUCUGCGUUUUGCUGGAUUCCAGUGAGAUGGAAUUGAGGCUGCUGUGAGCAGGAUUUAUGUAACUAGUCAAAUGCUUGAAGUACUUUGGAAAGGGGUGAUUGGUUUUGAUUGCUGGUUUUAAGAACCUGUGAAUAGAUAUUUUAUGUGUUUAACUUUUGCUGAAUAGUAAAUUACAGCAAUUGGAUAACCACAGAUGUAGAAAUGUAUGUUAGUUGAGAGAUGAGUAAUAGAAAGGAAAUUAACUUGCUGAUUUGGAUAUCCAAGAAUUUAGAUAUUUCCUGGAGAAGCAAGUCUGUUGCCCUAUGGAUUGGAGCAGUAGAUUACUUCUUUAUGCUUAAAAGUCACAAAUACAUGAUGUGAUAGUUUCCCUUUCUGAUACUAUCUUUAUUUUUCCUUUUCUGCUACUUUGACUCAUUUCCAUUGUUUUGAGAUUCCAAUGUUAUGCUUGUAUCAUUCAGAAAUCACUAAAUAUUAUUAGCUAUGCCUAUUCCAUUAGAUAAUUACAGAUUUGUUUGUACAGCUUUCUGAAUUUACUUCUAUUGUGAACUAUUUAUGUUGUGGAAUUUAAAUAUAGGAUCUACUAAUGUGAUAUAAAUGAGGGUUUUUGUCUUAACGUUAGAAAUCAUCAGUGUGAUUAACUUGUCUCUGUGUUUUCCUUUGUCAUUACAGCUGUACAAGUGGUCAGCUUUUGUUAUAAUAGGCCAGGAGAGUAAAUGUGUUGAAAGCAGAUUCUGAGAGUGAAGAUCUUUGGAGAAAGACAGAGGGGUUUACAAUAAAGAUUGUUAUAAGGACAACAGGGAAGAGAUAAUUUAAAUUGGUUUCAAGCCAGUAAUCCGUAUGACCAAUAGGAGACCUUAGCAAUUAUUAAAGAACCCCUGCUGUUUGCACAAGUAAGGAGACUUUCACGAGGGACUGCUGGCUAGGUACAGAGGUUCUGUACCCAUACUGAAAAAGAGAAUGGAGAGGAGGUGAAUUACAUGGAAUGCUUUUUAGUUUCCUUUUGUUUUGAGCUUGCAGAAUGUGUUUUCUGGUACGCCACAGUUACAGUCUUGAAGUGGUAAUUCAAGUGGAAUGUAAUUUGAGAAGUUAUGAUUGCCUGAGUUCAGCGAUCCCUUGGGGGAUUGGCAAGAUAUUGGUAAUCUUAAUAAAAAUGUUGUGUGCUUGGAACAAUAUCUCCAAUGAGGAAACAAUAUCAUUGACUUCAGAGGACAUAGUGGGGAAAAAAAAGAUAUCCUGAGCCUUUGAUAGUACAUAAGGCCAAAUACAUUUUUCUUCAAAAUAGAUUAAACUAUGAACUAUUUUGCUGUGUUGCCAGGAGCAAUUCUGACAAGGCUGUGAAGGCUGAAUGAUGGAAGAGGGUGUGCUGCUUUAUCUCUAGGAGUAGAUUUCAUAGUGCUUUUACCUCAGUUAGGGACGAGACUGAAGUUCUCUGCGUCAGCAAUUCACUGUGCUGAAUAUUGGCACCUGAUAAUACUGAUAGUUUCUGGUUGUAGUAGUGGUCUUCCCGCCAUGUCAGUCUCAGGGAGCUCUGACUUACCUGAUCUGACCUCUCAGCACCAAGCUGCUAGUUCAGCUCUGUUGGCUGAACAGGAUUCGCUUUUCCACGUUACUUAUGUUCUUUGAUCCUGGGAAUCUGUUCUUGUAUUAGAAGCAGAAGAAUCUGCUUUAAUGAUCUUCCUAGAGCUGUUAAUGCCUCCUAGAAGAGUCCAGGGGGCUCUGCUGCAGGAUGUAGAUCAAUAAAUGUAA